AUGCUCCUGCUCCAGCCGGCAUCUGGCGGAGCAUCGCCACUCCGACCCCCUCCCUUCCCCACAUGCUCCUCUCGAUCCCGUCCCCUCCCUCCCUGUCGUCUUGUCCUUGCGACGCCCACCCUCCACCAGGCCCUCCGCCAGCCCGAGCCCCUCGCUCCCUUCUCCACCAGGCCAUCCACCUUCGCUCGACUUGACCAUGUCGUUGUGGGGGAUGGGGUUGUUGGGCUCAUGGCCGAGCUCUACAAGGUGGAGCUCGUGCGCGCCCACGACGAUCCUGAGCGCAACGCUGACUUCUGCUUCCUCUACUACGCGUACGCCAAGGCCGCGGUGGAGCGCGCCGCGCAGGUCAACGGCGUAGGUCGCGGGCGUGGCGGAGCCCAUCCAUCCACCCAUCUUCCCCAAAGUUUCCUUCGACAAGUAGCAGCAGCGGAAGGCGAUGGCAACGAACAUGCAGAUGGGCAGCGGCUCUCUCUCAUCAACAACACCUUCUACUCCAACAAGGAGAUCUUCCUCCGCGAGCUCAUCUCCAACUCAUCAGAUGCUCGAGAGCCUGACGGACAAGAGCAAGCUCGACGCCAGCCGGAGCUCUUCAUCCGCCUCAUCCCCGAUAAGCCCAACAAGACGCUCUCCAUCAUCGACAGCGGCGUUGGCAUGACAAAAUCAGAUUCCCUACACGUGUGUAUCUAUCAAGUCAUCUUACUAGUGGCUGUUCAAUUGACCUUGAUCAUGCAAGAACGUCACUGGAUUCUGGAAUCUGACCGAGAUCCCACCGGAGCUCUUCAACUCGAUGGAUCUGGUCAUGUUAACUCCGCGUCCUACUUCUCGACGGAAGCUGCAUCCUUCCCCAGUAGGCUUCCAAUGGCUGCGUGCCUGCGCCCAGCUGCUUCUGCGCCGGUGCCGACCACCGCGCCCAGUCACCACGGCCAGUGGCAGCAGUCUCCUUGGCGGAUGGCAGUGUGCAGGUGUGCACCCUGGCACUGGGGACUAGAGAUGUGCAGCAUAGAAGGCCAGCAGCUAGGAGCUGAGCAACUGUACACAGAGCCGGAGGUAAGAUUGAGGUGGACCAGAUUGCUAAUUUCUAACUAG
rnacentral:rRNA from 1 species